rnacentral:rRNA from 1 species
GACGAACGCUGGCGGCGUGCCUAAUACAUGCAAGUUGAGCGCUGAAGGUUGGUACUUGUACCGACUGGAUGAGCAGCGAACGGGUGAGUAACGCGUGGGGAAUCUGCUACUGAGCGGGGGACAAUAUUUGGAAACGAAUGCUAAUACUGCAUAAAAACUUUAAACACAAGUUUCAAGUUUGAAAGAUGCCAUUGCAUCACUCAAAGAUGAUCCCGCGUUGUAUUAGUUAGUUGGUGAGGUAAAGGCCCACCAAGGCGGAGAUACAUAGCCGACCUGAGAGGGUGGACGACCACAACGGGACUGGAGCACCGCCCAAGCCCCCACGGGGAGCAGCAAGAGGGGAACAUCGGCAAUUGACAGAAAUCUGGCCGAACAACGCCGCCGUGGUGAAAGAGGUUUUCGGGUCGUAAAACUCUUUUUGUAGGGAAGGACGUGGAGGAGGGUAAAAAGCUCAUCAAGUGACGGUAACUACCGAAUAAGGAACGGCUAACUACGUG